rnacentral:tRNA from 1 species
GGAGAUGUGGCCGAGUGGUCCAAGGCGCUCGUCUCGAAAACGAGUAUACCCAAGAAAGGGCUCGAGGGUUCGAAUCCCUCCAUCUCCGCCA